AGAAUCAACGCUGGCGGCGUGCCUCAGACAUGCAAGUCGAACGAUUAAAGCUCUCUUCGGAGAGUGUAUAGAGUGGCGCACGGGUGAGUAACACGUAAGUAAUCUACCUUUGAGUGGGGAAUAACGUCCGGAAACGGACGCUAAUACCGCAUAAUGCAGCGGCAUCGCAAGAUGACAGUUGUUAAAGAUUUAUCGCUUGAAGAGGAGCUUGCGCAGAUUAGCUAGUUGGUAAGGUGAUGGCUUACCAAGGCUACGAUCUAGUAACCGGUCUAAGAGGACGGUCGGUCACACUGACACUAGAAGUAACGGGUCAGACUCCGAGGGAGGCAGCAGGUCGGGUAAUUUUGGGACAAGUGGGACGAAAGCCUAGACCCAGACAACGUCCGCGUAGAAGGAUAGAAGUAGUUU
rnacentral:rRNA from 1 species